GAUGAACGCUAGCUACAGGCUUAACACAUGCAAGUCGAGGGGUAACAAGAGGAAAGCUUGCUUUUCUUGUUGACGACCGGCGCACGGGUGAGUAACGCGUAUCCAAUCUGCCUAUAACUAGGGAAUAACCUUGCGAAAGUAAGACUAAUACCCUAUGAUUUCCUUUGAUGACAUCAGAUUAGGAAUAAAGAUUUAUCGGUUAUAGAUGGGGAUGCGUCUGAUUAGCUUGUUGGCGGGGUAACGGCCCACCAAGGCAACGAUCAGUAGGGGUUCUGAGAGGAAGGUCCCCCACAUUGGAACUGAGACACGGUCCAAACUCCUACGGGAGGCAGCAGUGAGGAAUAUUGGUCAAUGGGCGGAAGCCUGAACCAGCCAAGUAGCGUGCAGGAUGACGGCCCUAUGGGUUGUAAACUGCUUUUAUACAGGAAUAAAGUUAGCCACGUGUGGUUAUUCGUAGGUACUGUAUGAAUAAGGACCGGCUAAUUCCGUGCCAGCAGCCGCAGUAA
rnacentral:rRNA from 1 species